ACUCCUGUGCUUUGGGCAGGUCUUCCACCCGCCCUCCUCCUGUCUCCCACAGGGUGAACCUGAGAAGGUUUGAUGAUGCUCGAAGUCAACGCAGGAGGGACCCUGAGAUUAGAAUAAAACUGGGCCUCAGGGGCAUUUGGGUGGUCAUAGAGUUUCUGGCUGGUUUGGAGACAGCCUCCUCUCGGGGACCUCAUGCAGAAGAGGAUGCUUCCGAAAAGGAGGGCCAAGCCCCUCUUGCUGGCCCUCCCCAGCACAUGCCUUCGGGACCUGGCCCGGAGCUGACGUCGGGCACAGCGGUUUCCAGCUGAGUGGGAGGACCUGUGGGAUCUCGAAGGUCCGUAUUUACCACACCACGUGCGGGACUGUUCCCAGAAACUUCCCACGGCUCCCGAGGGUCCUCUCUCCUUGUUCCAGCACGUCACAGACCAGAACACACGGCGCUCAGAGGAGGAGCAACACGACACCAAGGAAGGAAAAGAACGUGCCACCGCCAAACCGAGCCAGGGUCACGCGACGCAGCGCUUUGUCUCAGGAAACCUGUGUUUCUGUUGCUCACACUCACACUCGCACACGCACACAGAAAUGCGCUUCACUGUGUCGUGGACCAAGAAAGCUGAACAGCUCUGCGCUAGUGUGCUCUGAGAGUAAGGAGGGUUUUGGGGGACAGAGCGGCGCCGGCCUCCUGGCUGGGCUGUCACUAGAGAGCAGAGCAACGAGCCCCAUGGGUUUUCCUCUCCUGGGCAUGCCCUCUCUGUACUCUGGGCUCAGAAAUGUGCCCAGAGUAGAAAGACUGAGAACCACGUCCUUUACCAGCGGGGACAGGGGCAGAGCAGUUCCUGACCGCCACCUGCCAUCGCCCCAGCCCUCUGACCAGCAGGCACUCUGCUGUGGCCCACGGGGCAGCUUGCUCCUGCCAACCCCGGAAGCACCAGGCCCCUCCAGACCAGGACAGCAGUUACCCUCUGGGGCCACUGCCCACCCCAGAUCCUCUCUGAGUGGCACGUCAGCGUCUAUGCCCACCUGGCCCAGACCUGUGUGGCCUGUGUCCUGCCGCCCAAGCCCAGGACGCAGGCAGGCAUGGGACACCCAGCGGGAAGGGGUCUCAGAGUCCUCCAUAUUCCUCUAUUACUGGUGGGGGAGUACAGGCCCAGGGGCUUCGAGUGAGCCGCCCAAAGCCACGGCAGCCAGAUCAGACCCUGGUCUCGCCACGCCUGGCCCAGUCCUGCUGCGGCCUGUGUCCUGCCGCCCAAGCCCAGGACACAGGCAGGCAUGGGACGCUCAGUGGGAAGGGGUCCCAGAGUCCUCCAUAUUCCUCUAUGACAGGUGGGGAGUACAGGCCCAGGGGGUUCGAGUGAGCUGCCCAAAGCCACGGCAGCCAGAUCAGACCCGGGUCUCGCCGCGCCGGCCGAGGUCUCGUCAGGCCAGGCUGUCUCUGUGGAUUUGCUGUUCCAGCCGUCUACGGAGUGAAGAGGACACUGUCCGGUGGCUGUGACCUUGCAGGCCUAAAGCACCGGCUCUUCGGGUUGUGCAGAAAGGACACACGCCGUGACGUUUCCGGAGGCUCGGGGCUUCCCAGCGCUGUCAGCCCGACUCUGUGCCUGGUCCCCUCUCCGGAAGCAGGGACCCCUGUGCUCAGUUCCCAGACUACCGGAGGCCUUGCCAGACAGAAGACACUGCUGAGCUGGGGGACUACGAGGACGCAGCUCCAUGACCCCACUCUGCCAGGGGACACACCCAAGCUGCCUGGUGCCCCCGAAGUUGCCCCCACACCUGGCCCCAACACUGCUAUGGGGUACUUGUGGGCAGUGCCUGGGCGCUGCUCCAGCCCAGCGGUCUAAGACAAACACCCGUAUGUCCCUCACUGGAAUCUCGCAAGCCGCACGGCGGUGACAAUGCACGAUCGCCAUUAUUACCGGGCAGAUGGCAGAUCCUCCUGAAGCAGACAUUAAGCAGUAAAACGCUGCCACAAACCUUGCCCAUGAUGUCAAAUCACAACAAAAACCUGAGUCUGCUUUGAUUCUCUCCUGCACUCUCCCUACCUCCUGCUCUGCUGGAUGAGAGGUGUCGGGAGGGCUGGAGGAGGGGUCGUGAGUUGAGGACACUCAGGCCAGCCCACGUGGCCCUCAGGAGAACCACAGUGGGAGACCAGGCAGACCUUGUCCACAUACGAUGGGCAGGGCGGAGAGAGCGGGCCUGACCAUCCCGAGGACAGGGACUGGAGCUGCAGGGACCUGCGGGAACCGAUGGCACGGACGCCCUCUCGCCUGGCUGCCUGCGCAUCUUCAGAAGGAAGACUUGGAUCCCAGCAGAAGUCGUAGCUGCUGGCACCACUGGGCGUGCUCUGCAGGCUCUGUUCCCUGAGGGGGACCUGCUAUUCAUCCAGCCUAGGUCUCCAGCUGGCCCUGUCACCUGUCUUCACAAUAACCCUGAGCGGCAGGUGUGCUGUCUCCAUUUUUAGAGGAAAAAUCAGACUCAAGAAAACAAAAUUUGUCCAGGGUCCCCAGCUGGUGAGCAGUAGAACACACUCCCCCAGGUCGAGAGCCAGAGGACUCAGGUUAGGAGAGAAAGGCUAAAUAAACGUAGAAAAUAAAUAAAACUCUGCAGAGUGGCCACUAGCACAUUGCCCUGAAAUGCUGGAAGCCACGUGGCCACAACGUGGAGCCUGAGCCCACCCGAAACCCAUCAGCAAGUGCGCUCGCCAGAGAUGCCAACGGGCAGAGGGGUGGGGAGGGGACCGCAGCCUGACCAGACCGGGCCGGGGUCUGCCCGCCAUGCUCACGCUCUUGCCCUCACUCAUGAACAUGUAUGGUAAUAUCUACACGCCAAUAUACAGUAUAUUCUG